GAGUUGGUAUCAUAAAUGGAUAAUGACCCUGACUGUGAAUCAGGUCUAUGCGGGUUCGAAUCCCGUCCUUCUCC
rnacentral:tRNA from 2 species